UGCAGUCCUGACCCGACCACAGAAGAAGCAAGAAGAACCACUGAAUAAGCCACCAAGGAACGACUCAAAGUUCACGCAGAAGGCAUGUUGCGGUGUUGGCAGAACUGUAUCAGAGAGACUGGAGGAAGCAGAGGGCUUGUGCAGUUUCUCUCCUGGGGGCCGACCUCAGUGUUCUUCUAAAUGCCACCAAAUGUUUGCUUUCUUGGGAUGACAAUAUGUAGCUCCUAUAGAAGUCCGGAUCUUACUGUGAAACCCUGGCUGACCUUAAGUUUAUGAUCGGCCUCAGCAUCCCAGCUGCAGGAAUUACAGAAAAUGAUUCUGUGAAUCACAGCCUUUACCUGCCAAAUAGAAAUAAAUGGAAGACUUCGAAGGAGCCAAAGCAAACCAGCCAGUGUACUCUGAACACUGAAACACAACGUGGGGCAACAGAAGAAGAAGACACUGCGAAUGGAAACCUGAGCCUGAUUGCCUAGUUCCAUCCUUGUCAGCAUCACAGCUGUCUAAAUGUCUCUGCUUCAUUUCGUCUCGUGUGUCAUUAGGAUUACCAUUAGAUUUAUUUGGAACUCUUUCCAUGGAAUAUGUAAAGUAUUUAAUCUGAAUUUGUGUACGAUACAAUAAACAA